rnacentral:rRNA from 1 species
UGGGGAAUAUUGGACAAUGGGCGCAAGCCUGAUCCAGCCAUGCCGCGUGUGUGAUGAAGGCCUUAGGGUUGUAAAGCACUUUCACCGAUGAAGAUAAUGACGGUAGUCGGAGAAGAAGCCCCGGCUAACUUCGUGCCAGCAGCCGCGGUAAUACGAAGGGGGCUAGCGUUGUUCGGAAUCACUGGGCGUAAAGCGCACGUAGGCGGAUUGUUAAGUGAGGGGUGAAAUCCCAGGGCUCAACCCUGGAACUGCCUUUCAUACUGGCAAUCUCGAGUUCGAGAGAGGUAAGUGGAAUUCCGAGUGUAGAGGUGAAAUUCGUAGAUAUUCGGAGGAACACCAGUGGCGAAGGCGGCUUACUGGAUCGAUACUGACGCUGAGGUGCGAAAGCGUGGGGAGCAAACA